rnacentral:rRNA from 1 species
UACGAAGGGGGCUAGCGUUGUUCGGGAUUACUGGGCGUAAAGGGCGCGUAGGCGGCGUGUCAAGUCAGGCGUGAAAGCCCCGGGCUCAACCUGGGAACCGCGCUUGAGACUGGCAUGCUCGAGUUCGGGAGAGGAUGGUGGAAUUCCCAGUGUAGAGGUGAAAUUCGUAGAUAUUGGGAAGGAACACCGAUGGCGAAGGACAGCCAU